CCUCCCUCCCUCCUUCCCUCGCUGGCUCGCCGCAAGUCGCCGCCACUCCGGCUUGCCCGCUGGCCGUGCCUCGUUCGUCCCGGCCAAGGAGCUCUCCCGCCGGCACCUGAAAAAGCGCCCGCGAAUCAAGCCCGGAUUUCUUUUUCCGCCGGGAAAGCGCGCGUGGCUGGCAGCGCUGGGAUUGUGCGGUUCUUGGGACCUGCUUCUCUCGGCGGAGGAGGCGACGACUCCGGGCUGAGUCCGUCAGCGGCGCGAUUUCCUCUCUUGGAUAUUGAGCUUUGCAUCCCAAGAUCAUGACAUUUCAAGGGCUCCAGGUGUUGUUUGGGGUGUUUCUUUGCUCUUGCUGUGUAAAAGGAUCCUUGCAGCCACAACCUCGGGUGUUCUUAACCUUCAAUGAACUACAGGAAACCAAGACAUCCCAAUUUUACUCCCUUUCCCAUCACCCCUUGGACUACAGGAUAUUAGUGAUGGAUGAAGAUCAAGACCGGAUCUACGUUGGCAGCAAAGAUCACAUUUUGUCGUUGAAUAUCAAUAACAUAAGCCAGGAGCCACUGAGUGUAAGUUCACGGUGUGGUUGAGAAUGGA